AGCUCCAAUAGUGUAUAUUAGUGUUGUUGCAGUUGAAGCGCUCGUAGUUGGAUUUUGGAAUGGUUUGACCGGUCUUACCGUCAAGGUUUGUACUGGUUGAAGUGUUCUUUUUUCUGAAGAACUGUCAUGCCCUUCACCGGGUGUGGCAGGGAUCCAGAACUUUUACUUUGAAAAAAUUAGAGUGUUCAAAGCAGGCUUAGGCCGUUGGAUACAUUAGCAUGGAAUAAUGAGAUAGGGCCACGGCGGUCUAUUUUGUUGGUUUGCACGUUGUGGUAAUGAUUAACAGGAACGGUUGGGGGUAUUCGUAUUCAAUUGUCAGAGGUGAAAUUCUUGGAUUUGUGGAAGACGAACUACUGCGAAAGCAUUUACCAAGGAUGUUUUCAUUAAUCAAGAACGAAAG
rnacentral:rRNA from 1 species